rnacentral:rRNA from 1 species
UUCCCCUAGUAACUGCGAGUGAAGCGGGAAAAGCUCAAAUUUAAAAUCUGGUAGUCUUUGACUACCCGAGUUGUAAUCUAGAGAAGCGUUAUCCGCGCUGGACCGUGUACAAGUCUCCUGGAAUGGAGCGUCAUAGAGGGUGAGAAUCCCGUCUUUGACACGGACUACCAGGGCAUUGUGAUGCGCUCUCAAAGAGUCGAGUUGUUUGGGAAUGCAGCUCUAAAUGGGUGGUAAGUUCCAUCUAAAGCUAAAUAUUGGCGAGAGACCGAUAGCGAACAAGUACCGUGAGGGAAAGAUGAAAAGAACUUUGGAAAGAGAGUUAAACAGUACGUGAAAUUGUUGAAAGGGAAACGCUUAAAGUCAGUCGCAUUGGCUCAGGGAUCAGCCUUGCUUUUGCUUGGUGCACUUCCUGGUUAAUGGGUCAGCAUCAAUUUUGAUCAAUGGAAAAAGGUCAAGGGAAUGUGGCAUCUCCGGAUGUGUUAUAGCCCUUGGUUGUAUACAUUGAUCGGGAUUGAGGAACUCAGCACGCCGCAAGGCCGGGUUUUACCACGUUCGUGCUUAGGAUGCUGGCAUAAUGGCUUUAAUCGACCCGUCUUGAAACACGGACCAAGGAGUCUAACAUGCCUGCGAGUGUUUGGGUGGAAAACCCGAGCGCGUAAUGAAAGUGAAAGUUGGGAUCCCUGUCGUGGGGAGCACCGACGCCCGGACCAGACCUUCUGUGACGGAUCCGCGGUAGAG